rnacentral:rRNA from 1 species
UACGUAGGGGGCAAGCGUCGUCCGGAUUUAUUGGGCGUAAAGAGCGUGUAGGCGGCCGUACAGGUCAGCUGUGAAAACUCGAGGCUCAACCUCGAGACGUCGGUUGAAACCGUACGGCUAGAGUCCGGAAGAGGAGAGUGGAAUUCCCGGUGUAGCGGUGAAAUGCGCAGAUAUCGGGAAGAACACCCGUGGCGAAGGCGGCUCUCUGGGACGGUACUGACGCUGAGACGCGAAAGCGUGGGGAGCAAACAGG